rnacentral:rRNA from 1 species
GGCCUAACACAUGCAAGUCGAACGGGCGUAGCGAUACGUCAGUGGCAGACGGGUGAGUAACGCGUGGGAACGUGCCCUUCAGUUCGGGACAAGCCGAGGAAACUUGGUCUAAUACCGGAUACGUCCAAGGAAACUUGGAGAAAGAUUUAUCGCUGAAGGAUCGGCCCGCGUCUGAUUAGCUUGUUGGUGGGGUAAUGGCUCACCAAGGCGACGAUCAGUAGCUGGUCUGAGAGGAUGAUCAGCCACAUUGGGACUGAGACACGGCCCAAACUCCUACGGGAGGCAGCAGUGGGGAAUAUUGGACAAUGGGCGCAAGCCUGAUCCAGCCAUGCCGCGUGAGUGAUGAAGGCCCUAGGGUUGUAAAGCUC